rnacentral:lncRNA from 1 species
UUAGUUUUUAGUAUAUAAAGGCAGAUUAACAAACCUUCACACAAAUCUAAAUUUUAUUACUAAAUUAAUUGAUUACACUUUGUGUUUACUAGGUCACAGGGAAUUUCAAUGGGUUUACUCUGCAAAAGAUUUCAUGUGAAAUACAUUUUUCUAUUCUGAAAGGUUUUUUAAGAUUUUCAAGGCAACUAAGAAGUUUUCUAAAAAGACAGUGUUUGUAAUACAG